rnacentral:rRNA from 1 species
GAUGAACGCUGACAGAAUGCUUAACACAUGCAAGUCUACUUGAACUUCGGUUUGGGUGGCGGACGGGUGAGUAACGCGUAAAGAACUUGCCUCACAGAUAGGGACAACAUUUGGAAACGAAUGCUAAUACCUGAUAUUAUGAUUUUAGGGCAUCCUAGAAUUAUGAAAGCUAUAUGCACUGUGAGAGAGCUUUGCGUCCCAUUAGCUAGUUGGAGAGGUAACGGCUCACCAAGGCGAUGAUGGGUAGCCGGCCUGAGAGGGUGAUCGGCCACAAGGGGACAGGGACCCGGCCCUUACCCCUACGGGGGGCAGCGGUGGGAAAUAUGGGACAAUGGACCAAGAUUUUGAUCCAGCAAUUUUGGGUGCAAGAUGAAUUUUUUCGGAAUGAAAAGUUCUUUCAGUUGGGAAAAAAAAAAGGGCGGGACAAACAGAAGAAGGGCCGGUGAAAUCCG